GACGUAGGGCGCGAGCGUUGUCCGGAUUUAUUGGGCGUAAAGAGCUCGUAGGCGGCUUGUCGCGUCGACUGUGAAAAACCCGCGGCUCAACCGUCGUGGUCUGCAGUCGAUACGGGCAGGCUAGAGUUCGGUAGGGGAGACUGGAAUUCCUGGUGUAGCGGUGAAAUGCGCAGAUAUCAGGAGGAACACCGGUGGCGAAGGCGGGUCUCUGGGCCGAUACUGACGCUGAGGAGCGAAAGCGUGGGGAGCGAACAGG
rnacentral:rRNA from 1 species